GCAAGUCGAACGGGCGUAGCAAUACGUCAGUGGCAGACGGGUGAGUAACACGUGGGAACGUACCCUUCAGUUCGGGAUAAGCCGAGGAAACUUGGUCUAAUACCGGAUACGUCCGCAAGGAGAAAGGUUUUUCGCUGAAGGAUCGGCCCGCGUCUGAUUAGCUAGUUGGUGGGGUAAUGGCCUACCAAGGCGACGAUCAGUAGCUGGUCUGAGAGGAUGAUCAGCCACAUUGGGACUGAGACACGGCCCAAACUCCUACGGGAGGCAGCAGUGGGGAAUAUUGGACAAUGGGCGCAAGCCUGAUCCAGCCAUGCCGCGUGAGUGACGAAUGCCUUAGGGUUGUAAAGCUCUUUUACCUGGGAAGAUAAUGACGGUACCAGGAGAAUAAGCCCCGGCUAACUUCGUGCCAGCAGCCGCGGUAAUACGAAGGGGGCUAGCGUUGUUCGGAAUCACUGGGCGUAAAGCGCUCGUAGGCGGAUUCUUAAGUCAGGGGUGAAAUCCCGGGGCUCAUACCCGGAACUGCCUUUGAUACUGGGGAUCUCGAGUCCGGGAGAGGUGAGUGCAAUUGCGAGUGUACAGGUGAAAU
rnacentral:rRNA from 1 species